AUUUGCAUAGCUUAGCGGAUAUGUAGCUAAACUGACUGAUGAUGCUUGUAAUUGCUAUGUCUCAGCACAUCUUAUGCAUGGAAAUAAGUUCAGAUGGUUGGCAGCCAACACAAAAUAUUUAAUUUCUAGUGAAUUGCCCACUUAUACUGAUUUAUUUUUAUUUUGUUUAUUUUAUCUUGAAUAGCUUACAGGAACUCCAUGCCAUUAUUUUGGUUCUAUAUUCUUGUCUAUUGCUUGUAGAAACCUCGCUUUGAACUUACA
rnacentral:misc_RNA from 1 species